UAGGGAAUCUUCCACAAUGGACGAAAGUCUGAUGGAGCAACGCCGCGUGAGUGAAGAAGGGUUUCGGCUCGUAAAACUCUGUUGUUAAAGAAGAACAUAUCUGAGAGUAACUGUUCAGGUAUUGACGGUAUUUAGCCCGAAAGCCACGGCUAACUACGUGCCGG
rnacentral:rRNA from 1 species